GGAUGUGAGGGCGAUCUGGCUGCAACAUCUGUCACCCCAUUGAUCGCCAUGGUUGAUUUGGCUGAUCUGGCUGGCUAGGUGGGUGUCUCCUUCCUCCCUCACUGCUCCAUGUGAAUCCCUCCGGAAGCUGCAUCCCUCCCAAAGCUGUGCACUCAGUCAAAGAGGACAGUCUUCCCUGAAUAGAGACGGACCGGUCUUUGGUAUAGGAGUAGCUGCGCUCCCCUGCUAGAACCUCCAAACAAGCUCUCAAAGGAAAGUAAUAAAAACAUUUCCUUUCAUUAGAAUAUGUCUCUUAAACUCCCCAUUUAGCUAAAACAUGUCUUGAACACUAUUCAUGUAAAUGGUUUU
rnacentral:snRNA from 1 species